rnacentral:pre_miRNA from 12 species
AUAUAUUUCUCUAAAGCAUACCUUGUGUAUAUACUUUAUACACAAGGUAUGCUUUAGAGAAAUAUAUAUG